AUGAGGUAUUUCAAAUCCAUUAAUCUCUUCGUGGAGUUAUCUUGUGUCAUAUUUCACCUAAAGCCUUCCCUAAGGAAUGUUGUUAUUGUGGUGCUUAUCAAUGAUCCAAGUUUUCUCCUAUCCUCUCGGCGAAAGCAGUUUUUCAUCUCUUCGUUGAUCUCAAGCAAGCAAUUGUUUUCCGUUAGUGGCACAAUUUCACCUCAAGUGUUGAGAUGUUUCAAUAAGCCCACUACAAGCUUAUUCGUUUCGUUGUUGAUUUUCCAACAACUUCGUUCAAUCCUUCUUUCUAUGGUUGCUCUUCAAAUUCACUGGUGGUAG
rnacentral:rRNA from 1 species